GGCUUUGCUGCACGUGCCGUCCAACUGAUUCGAUUUCACUGGAAUUCCAUGAAGUCCUUGAAUAGAUAUACCUCCCUCCCUCCCUCCCGAGACGGCGAGACCGCCAAAGGCUAGGACCCAGCCCCAGUCCAGUUGUUCAGCUUUCAAACACCACACCCAACCUUUCCAUUAGGUUUAUCUAUAAAACCCCUCUUUUAUUUUAUUUAUUUUCUUUUUAAUGUUUUCCUCUCUCUGUUUUCUCAAAUCCUUGAAGCUUAAUUCCAUGAGCGACAACUUUCUCGGAUAACAAGCGCCGCUGUAGAGAGAAUAAUUAGAAAAAGAAAAUAGAGGUUCAGACAUGGGGUCUCUUGCUCCAGUGUCUUAUUGGAAUCCCGAAGACGACCUUUUGCUGAUGAACGCCGUUGAGGCUGGUGCUUCUUUGGAAUCACUUGCUAAAGGUGCAGUGCAAUUUUCAAAAAGAUUUACUGUUCGAGAAGUGCAAGAUCGGUGGCAUUCUCUCCUUUAUGAUCCUGUUAUUUCUACAGAAGCUUCUGCCCGCAUGAUUGCAUUUGAUCGUUCUGCUACAAUUCCUAUGUCAAAGUUCAGUAGAUCUAGCAACUCCAAAGAAAUAAAACCCAUCUAUGGUAAGAGAAAGGCUGGAAGUGUUCGUAAUUGUUAUUAUGCACUGCGCAAGAGAAUUUGCAAUGUGCCAUUUAACUCCAUGAAUAUGAAUUUUCUUGAUGCACCUGAUAACGGUAAUUUCAUUGGGAACGGAGAUGAGCCUUUAUCUGGAGAUCCUAUCUCAGAUAAUUUUGGACUCCAAGGAUCAAACUUGGAUGCUGUUUUUCCUCAAAAUCAGAUAAAUAGUAGCAUUGCCACUGAUGGUACUGCUGCCGCAGCCCAUUCCUUUCAACCAGGACUCCAGCACCCUGGUGAUAAAGAUUAUCUCAUUGGGAAAGCUAAUAUAUACGAAGAUACUCGUACUUUUGGUGCAAAUCUUCAUUUUUCCAGGAAUAGCUCUGGGGUUGAGGAAUUGGGUCGACCAAAACAAGUAAUGGCGCACAACCUCUUCAAAUCUGAUGAUUUGUGUGUGGAGCCCUCAUCUACAUUUGAUCAAAUUGAUAAUGAUCCUGGAAAUAUAUGCUCUGACUUUGAAGGUAAUCAGGUGUUCAAUUCACUGAUGUCGGAAUGUGGUGCAUCAUUUCACAACUUGGGGUUUUCAUCACCAGUUCAUGGAAUGCCUAUAUGGAGAACAGUUGAGGGCAUUGUAGAUCCAUCUAUGGCAGUUGAUGUUGGCCUUAGAGAAAAAGAUAUUUACUCUGGAGUUAGAUUUGAACUUCCCAAUGAUGAUGAUGCCAGGAAUGCGACAACAUUAGGGUAUGAUGGUCAGUUAGACUUCAAGUUGAAAAUUGAAACGCCCUGUGAUGGUUUGAAGAGUCCGACUGCUAGUACAGAAGGUUAUUUGGAAGAAUUAUCCAAUUCUCUUCUGAAUUUUACAAAUGAGGAAGAUCUUUUGUUCAUGGAUGUUUAUGGGAAAGACGUUAUUGAUAAAUCUUACUAUGAUGGCCUAAGCUCACUCUUGUUGAAUUCGCCUAAUGAUGCAAGUCAAAAUCACACACCCUGUAUGACUGAACCACAGGCAUCAGUAUCUCAAGAGACAUAUCUUAACAAUCCAUCUAAUGCAUGUCCAGGAGAGUUAGAGAAUAACAAGGGAUCUCUGUGUGGUGAUGGCCAAGGGGUUCAAGAUUCAGGCACCCAAAUACUAUCGUCUUCGUUAAAUUCAAACUCUCAGUUUCCUGAACUGAGUGAGGAAUUUAUGUUCUGUACAUUGAACACUGAGGAUCCAGAAAUUCCAUGCAAUGAUGAUUUUUGCCCACAAAAUUGGCUGUCCUCAUCAUCAGUUUCCUUUAUAGCUAAUAAUCCAACUCAUUCAACCGUUAAUGAUAUUUUGAGCAGUCAAAGAACUCGUGAAAGAGGUCUGCUUCCCAUGCAGAGAGAAGGAGAAAAAAUGGGAGAAUUUCGUUCAUCUUCAGCAAGUUUGAGCAUUGAUGCUUGUCGACCCACAAUGCUGAAGGAAGAGAAUGUAGAAGUUUCACCCUCACAGCUUCUUGGUCAUAACCAAAUGAAUUCAUUCAUAAAGAGGCCAUCUCUUUGUUCUGAUAGCGUGAAAGCCUGUACCCAGGCAAAUGCUAAUAGCAUUAAAUGGGAACUAGAUGUACCAGCUCCAAUUGGAGAUUAUCAAUCAACACAUUCUGAGAUUGUGCCUCUAGAUAUUUCUGUGCCUGAACCUGUAGAAAACCCUUUAAUAUCAGAACAGGAAGAGCUACCUGUUGAGAGUGAUGAUGAUGUACCUCAUUAUUCAGAUAUGGAAGCAAUGAUACUUGAUAUGGACUUGGAGCCAGAGGACCAGGAUCUGUAUUCUAGUGAGGAAGUUUCAAGAUAUCGGCUUGUGGACACGAAGAGGGCAAUUAUAAGGCUGGAGCAGGGUGCACAUUGUUCCAUGCAAAGAGCCAUUGCAUCUCACGGAGCAUUUGCCAUUUUAUAUGGCCGAUAUUCCAAGCAUUAUAUUAAAAAACCCGAGGUGUUACUUGGUAGAGCAACAGAAGAUGUUAUUGUUGACAUUGACUUGGGCAGGGAAGGGCGCGCCAAUAAAAUAUCUCGUCGGCAGGCUAUUAUAAAGAUGGACAAUGGUGGAUCAUUCUAUCUGACAAAUCUUGGCAAGUGCUCAAUUUCAGUUAAUAACAAGGAAGUAGGCCCUGGUCAGAGUCUAAGCCUCAUUUGCAGUUGUUUGAUUGAGAUUCGGGGAAUGCCAUUCAUAUUCGAGAUGAACGGAACUCGGGUGCAGCAGUAUUUGUGUGAAAUCACCAAGAAUAACCAAACCUAGGAGCAUCAACUAUGACUCGUAGCUCAGGUGCCACUAACAAGAUUAUUGACGGUGCUCAUUUUUCCCGUACUUUCUGGGUUCCCGAGAGGAAAAGAGAAUUUCUUUUGAUGGAUGACACCCCACCACCGCAUGCUGUACAAGCGUCACACUGGCGGAGGAACUCCAGACCAGACCAGCACACCCCCUUCAAACCAUUGCAACUUACAUUGACGUCUCUGAUCUCGAUCAUCUGCAAUUUACAUCUGGUAUGCAAUUUAAUUCCCACUUCCUUUCUAUCUUCCUCUUCCUACUGCCACGUUGUCUGUCUCCAUACUCUUCAGCUCCAUCCUCGACCAGCAGAGCAUUUGAAGUAAUUUUGCAAAUUGGAGGUGUUGGUAACUCAAAUAUCAAAUUUUUGCUAUUUAAUUAAUCAGAGUCUUGACGACACCCCUUCCCAUUUGCCAUUGGGAUGUUCUCAGACCUCCUUCAAGGACCACUGCAUUUCUGAAAUAAUUGUCCUCUUGGAGUUCUUAUUCAUCAUUCUCUGCCUUUGGCUCUGCCCAAGCGUCCUUUUACCUAAUUUUCCUCAUCGGUUUGGAAAUCUUGUUCCUUUUUCCACAGAAGCCGGAUCUAGAGCCAAUUCUUAUACUUGUCAUGUUUGGCAAGCCAUUGUUGCUUACAAAGUCUACCGUUUCUUUAGGCAAUUUUUCAGACUGACUUGGUCGGGAUUACUCGUGCGGUGUUGUUGUUUUUGGCUCUUGGGUCUCGCUCAAGAAUUGCGAAUUCACUACAAACCAAAAGCACAAACCAGAUUGACGAGAUUUGAUUAAACAAAAAAGAGUUGCUCAUUCGGGGUUUUGAGAGUGAAGUGGAACUAAAAUCGAGAAGGAAUAUGUGAUAUUUGGUCAUUCGCAAACACUACAUCGGACUGGAGCGAGAGUGCGAUUGCUAUUUUGUUUACUGUUUAGGACUUGAAUUCCUUCAUUUGGUUGAAAUUUUGGAGUUUUUUUGGCAUUUUUAUUCUUAGUUGAGAGGGAGGGAGGGAGAGGAGAGAGAGGGAGGGGGUUUCGGUGGCGGUUUUGUGGGUAUUUCCUGAGAAGGAGAGAGAGAGAGAGAGGGAGGGAGGGAGAAUCAGAGUGAGGCAUGGAGUUCUUUCUUCCUCUGCGGUGCGGUGCGGUGCAAAAUUGAGCGGGUGUGGUGUCUACAUGGCAAACCACUAUUGGAGGCUAUUAUUUGCAGAAUAACGGAACAACCUGUGGGAAAAUUAACUCUUUUUUAUUUGUUUUAAGAGCAAUACUACAUUGUUUUGUUAUGUUAA